UUCAUAUCAAUGUAUGACAAAACCCACUGAAAUGUUGUGAAGUAAUUAGCCUCCAACUAAUAAUAAAAAAAAUAAAUAAUUAAAAAAAAAAUAAAGGAAUGAUUCUUGCACAAAAAGGAAAAUUUCCAUGACAAACUAAUAAAUAUGAUAGUCAUUUCACUAAAAAAAAAAAAAAAAAGAGAAUGUGAAUUUACUUCUUUGGAGAAUUGGGAUGGACAUAGGUUGCAUCAUUAUCCUCUAAUUGCAGACAACUGUGUCAUUUUACUUUUUCACCAGGUUAAUGGAUCUUCAGGAGAUGAUAUGAUCUUGCCAGUGUUACUAUUUACAUUCUUUAUAUGGAAGAAACUCUUAAAUGGAUUAGAUAGUAAAAUGAUACAUUGAUAGAAUUGCAUGAAGUGUUUGUUUUUGUCCUUCACUCAUUAAUUCAUCAUAACAUUUUAAAUUUUAAGAUAUUUGAGUUAUCUAAGCCAUAUGACUUCAACAACAAGGCAAAGCCAGUAAGUAACUAAGGGAUCACAUCUGUUUGAUAAAGUUUAGGUUUAAAAGUACUUACUGAUAACGAAAGAAUGCUCAAACUACUGCACAAUUGCACUCAUCUCACAUGCUAGUAAAGUGAUGCUUAAAAUUCUCCAAGCCAGUCUUCAGCAAUACAUGAACUGUGAACUUCCAGAUGUUCAAGCUGGUUUUAGAAAAGGCAGAGGAACCAGAGAUCAAAUUGCCAACAUCCACUGGAUCAUUGAAAGAGCAAGAGCAUUCCAGAAAAACGUCUAUUUCUGCUUUAUUGACUAUGCCAAAGUCUUUGACUGUGUGGAUCACAAUAAACUGUGGAAAAUUCUGAAAGAGAAGGGAAUACCAGACCACCUGACCUGCCUCUUGAGAAAUCUGUAUGCAGGUCAGGAAGCAACAGUUAGAACUGGACAUGGAACAACAGACUGGUUCCAAAUAGGAAAAGGAGUACAUCAAGGCUGUAUAUUGUCACCCUGCUUAUUAAACUUAUAUGCAGAGUACAUCAUGAGAAACACUGGGCUGGAAGAAACACAAGCUAGAAUCAAGAUUGCUGGGAGAAAUAUCAAUAACCUCAGAUAUGCAGAUGACACCACGGUUAUGGCAGAAAGUGAAGAGGAACUAAAAAGCCUCUUGAUGAAGGUGAAAGAGGAGAGUGAAAAAGUUGGCUUAAAGCUCAGCAUUCAAAAAACUAAGAUAAUAGUAUCUGCUCGCAUAACUUCAUGGCAAAUAGAUGGGGAAACAGUGGAAACAGUGUCAGACUUUAUUUUUCUGGGCUCCAAAAUCACUGCAGAUGGUGAUUGCAGCCAUGAAAUUAAAAGACACUUACUCCCUGGAAGGAAAGUUAUGACCAACCUAGAAAGGAUAUUAAAAAGCAGAAACAUUACUUUGCCAACAAAGGUCUGUCUAGUCAAGGCUAUGGUUUCUUCAGUAGUCAUGUAUGGAUGUGAGAGUUGGACUAUAAAGAAGGCUGAGCGCAGAAGAAUUGAUGCUUUUCAACUGUGGUGUUGGAGAAGACUCUUGAGAGUCCCUUGGACUGCAAGGACAUCCAAGCAGUCCAUCCUAAAGGAGAUCAGUCCUGGAUGUUCAUUGGAAGGACUGAUGUUGAAGCUGAAACUCCAAUACUUUGGCCACCUGAUGUGAAGAGAUGACUCAUUUGAAAAGACCCUGAUGCUGCGAAAGAUUGAGGGCAGGAGGAGAGGGGGACAACAGAGGAUGAGAUGGCUGGAUGGCAUCACUGACUCGACAGACAUGGGUUUGAGUAAACUCUGGGAGUUAGUGAUGGACAGGGAGGCCUGGCGUGCUGCGGUUCAUGGGGUUGCAAAGAGUCAGACACAACUUAGUGACUGGACUGAACUGAACUGACCUGGCAACCAUCUUUUCUUCCUUUAACUUAUUUUUGUUAGACUGCUAAUUAAAUAUAUAAAAACAAAAAUACAUUUUCCAGUAACAAAAUCAAGUUUGUAAAUUACAAACAAAACUACAACAUUAUUAAAGUUCAGAUAAAGUAAGCUCUUUUCUGUGUAGUAAAAAAUAUAUAUACAAUACAAAAUUUGCCAUUUUAACCUGUUUAAGUGUACAGUUCUUUGGCAUUAAUUACAUUUACAGUGUUAUGCAGCUGUCACCAGUGUCUAUUUCCAAAACUUUUUCAUCUCCCAAAACAGAAACUCUGCAUCCAUUAAGCAGUAACUCCUCUUUUCUCCAUCCCCCAGUCACUGGUAACCUCCAAUCUACUAUAUCCCAAAGAAUUUGCUUGCUUUCUAGAUAUUUCAUAUAGGUGGAAUCAUACACUAUUUGUCCUUUUAUGUUUGGUUUAUUUCACUUUGCACGAUGUUUUCAAGGUCCAUUGAUAUUGUGGCAUGUAUCAGAAUUUCAUUCCUUUUUAUGGCUGAAUAAUAAUGUUCCAUUGUACGUAUAUACCACAUUUCUUUUAUCUGUUCAUCUGUUGAUGGACACUUGGGUUGUUUCCACAUUUUGGCUGUUGUGAAUAAUGCUGCAGUGAAUAUUUGUGUACAAGUAUCAGUUUAAGCCCCUGUUCAGUUCUUUAAGGGUAAAUACCUAGGAGAAGAUUAACUUUUAUAUAAAGCUAAUUGAAGAAAAUAUCUUCAUGACAUUAGAUGGGUUGUCUUCUUAAACAAGAUCCAAAAAACAUAAACCAUAAAGAAAAAAAUUAUUUGAUACAUUAAAAUUAAGACAUGUUAAUUAUUUCUAAAAAGGAUACCAUGAACUGACCAAAUAACAGUUAAUAGGCUGAGUUAAAGAACACUGUGGGGGAUGUGGGCUCAGUUGCUCAGUCAUGUCUGACUCUUUGCAAUACUAUGGACUAUAUCCCUCCAGGCUCCUUUUUUCAUGGGAUUCUCCAGGCAAGAAUACUGGAGUGGGUUGCCAUUUCCUCCUUCAGGGGAUCUUCCCAACCCAGGGGUCAAACCCGCGUCUCCUACGUCUUCUGCACUGCGGGUGGAUUCUUUACUGCUUGAGCCAUUGGGGACACUUAACAGUAGGAAUUUAUAUGUGGAAUAUGCAAGUCAAUAAGAUAAUAGGGAAUUUAACAGUUAAAUGAGCCCAGUAAACUAAAGGUGAUUCACAAAAUCACCCAAAUAACUAAUGUGUAAAGAAAGAGGUACUUCUGGGCAUUUAUCCCCAAAUGUUCAUACUUCUCUCCACCAGGGGACAGGGGACAACUCUGUCUGUUGUAGUACUGUCUGUGGUAGGAGGAACUUGGAGUUAACCUAGAUGUGGAGAAUGGAUGUAACACCGGGCAGCAGCUACAAGCACUUACCUGUUGUACAUACAGCUACCAUGGAAAUGUCCUAAAAUCUUAGUGUACUGUGAAAAUUGUUUGAAAUUGAACAAGAUCUACAACAGUAUCAUUUGAAUAAUUAAAAAUGGAUAUCCAAAGAAAAUCAAAUUUUUUUUCAAGAAUAAAUAUCCAAGUCAUAUACCAAGUUAAAUAUAUGCCCAUUAUUUGUUUGGGUACCUAUGGGUGGGUGACUGGGAUUAUGGAGAAUUAUAGUGGAGAUGAAAGAUUAAGAACAGAAAAACAGGAAAUUUAGUGAUCACUGCUUAACAUUCUUGACUUUAAUGUGAACUUCUAGAGUUUUCUGAUUUACUCUUCUUUCUAUAGACUUUCCACCUAUAGAAAAGCCUACUCCUUUAAGUAAACAAUUCAAAGAUUUUUUUUGCAUUUAAGCUGCAAAUAAAAUUUCAUGGUUGAAAACAAUCAGAAAUGAUAGGAAAGAAGAAAUCAAAUUUCACCCAAUUCCUCCAAACCACCACCAGCGAUCUUCAUAAAAUGGGGGUGUGAUAAGACGAAAGAUGCCUGUAUCAGAUCCCUGGAACCUGUGAAUAUUGUCUUAUUUGGAAAAAGGGUCUCUGCAGAUGUGAUUAAGUAUCUUCAUAUGAAGAGGUUAUUUUAAAUUAUCUGGAUGGGCCCUAAAUCCAAUGACAAGUGUCCUUAUAGGAGGCAGUAGAAAAGACACAGACACACACACAGUAAAGAAGGUGAUGUGAAGACCUUCACCCCAAGAGAUCAGGGUGAUGUGGCCACAAGCCAGCAAUGCCAAGGGGUGCCUUAGCAUGGGUUCUGCCCCAGAGUCUCUGCAGGGCAUGUGACUUUACUGAUACCUUGAUUUUAGAUUUAUGGGGUCCAGAACUGUAAGAGUAAAUGUCUAUUGUUUUAAUCCACUGACUUUGUGGUUAUUUGUUACAGUAGCCAACAGGAAGCUCAUAUAGAAGGAUAUGAAGUUGCUUCCUUGUGGCUUCAGGGCUUCUCACACAAGAUAGGUUAACACCCCUUUGUACAGAAUAGCUUUUCACAGCAUAGUGGCCCUCCUGAUUCCCCUCUUGGAAGAUGAAGGCCUGUAGCAACCUAUUGGUCCAUUAAUUAUUAAGUGGUCUUUCUUCUCCCCAUAGAUUUCAGAAAUCUGCCCCAGCUUAUCAAACAGAAAUACUUCAUGAAAUAAAAUUUGGCUUCAGGCUAUUUCUUAGCAGAGAAAUAAACAUAAUUUUAGGUUUCAUACUUUGUUGUCAGUGAACAAAUUGGCUGUACAUCUUCUAUACCAAGAAUCUAGAGAUUUGGUAGUUCUAAGAUUUGUUAAUUUAGAACUUAAAGACCCAAAUACAUUAUUCCCUCCUUUCCUUCCUUCUCUCCCUCCUUUCUUCCCUUCUUCCUUCCUUCCCUUUGCUAUCUUCAGUUCCAUUGCUUAGGAUCACUUCUUGUAUCAUUACUUUCAGAGGUGGAAACCACCCUUUUCCUCUCACACACACCUUCUUAAAAGCAGAUAAGUCUCCCAUUGAACUUGUCUCAUAGAUUAUCAACUCAUUGGUGAUUGAUUACAUGCCCAGGCUGAAUCAAAUCUGAAGAAAGAGGAUCUACCACAAUAGAACCAGUUGUUGAGGAGCCAGAAUUACAUACUUUGAAGGGAAAGAAAUGCUAUAAUAAGAUUGCUAAAUUAUAUACAAAUUUGGACCAUGUAUUACCAGGUAAUAAAACUGUAAUCUUUAGGGCUAACUUAUCUACGGGACAGGGGGAACAGAAGACCAAAACAAUAUCAUAUCAUUCUUCUAUGUGUUAACUGCUAACUUGCCAAGAUUGUAAAACAUCUGGGCCCUAAUCAAUUUUUAGUUAAAUAGUUAUAUUUCCUGAGAAAGUCAAGUGAGCCUUGGGUGGGCUUAUUAGAAAUGCAUGAUAGUAAAAGGCCAUCCAACCAUCUUUUUUUCUUUAUUUUCAACUUUUGAAAUCUUUUUUUUUUUUUUUUUGACAGGAGUAAGUGAGAGUGUCAGAGGAGAUGGCAUAGGAAGAAAAAGAUAAUAGGGCAAAGGCCUUGUUCCAAUCUACGCACAUAUUCCAGAUUGUUGGACCUUCAGAUGGAAGUAGUUACAUUAUAGAUUACUAUGGAACCAGACUUACAAGACUGAGUAUUACCAAUGAGACAUUUAGGAAAACACAGUUAUAUCCAUGAAUACUGUUUAAAAGAAACAG